CCUGUCAGAAGGGAACCUGGGCAGGACGACCUGAAGCUCCAGGGACUACUCCCAUGGUGGUGCCUGCACAAACGACCUUCCUUAAAAUCCGCUGCUUGCAAGAUGAAGUCCAAGAGUGUUAGGAAGGAGGCCGGGUGUGUGCCGUGUCCACGAUGCCAGGCCCCAGGGUCCACUAGGAGUUCUGUCUGUUCUGUGCAGCAGCCCCCCACCUGCUGGGGCUUGCCUCGAGGGACCAGAACAACCCACCCAUGAAGAGUCCCUGAGCCCAAGGGGCACCUGGGUGGCUCAGUCAGUUAAGCAUCCGACUUCAG